rnacentral:rRNA from 1 species
UACAGAGGUCCCAAGCGUUGUUCGGAUUCACUGGGCGUAAAGGGUGCGUAGGUGGUGGGGUAAGUCGGAUGUGAAAUCUCCGGGCUCAACCCGGAAAUGGCAUUGGAAACUACCUUGCUGGAGGAUUUGAGGGGGGAUUGGAAUACUUGGUGUAGCAGUGAAAUGCGUAGAUAUCUGGAGGAACACCGGUGGCGAAGGCGGCAUCCUGGACCGAUACUGACACUGAGGAGCGAAAGCCAGGGGAGCAAACGGG